rnacentral:rRNA from 1 species
AUUGAACGCUGGCGGCAGGCCUAACACAUGCAAGUCGAGCGGUAGAGAGAAGCUUGCUUCUCUUGAGAGCGGCGGACGGGUGAGUAAUGCCUAGGAAUCUGCCUAGUGGUGGGGGAUAACGUUCGGAAACGGACGCUAAUACCGCAUACGUCCUACGGGAGAAAGCGGGGGAUCUUCGGACCUCGCGCCAUUAGAUGAGCCUAGGUCGGAUUAGCUAGUUGGUGAGGUAAUGGCUCACCAAGGCGACGAUCCGUAACUGGUCUGAGAGGAUGAUCAGUCACACUGGAACUGAGACACGGUCCAGACUCCUACGGGAGGCAGCAGUGGGGAAUAUUGGACAAUGGGCGAAAGCCUGAUCCAGCCAUGCCGCGUGUGUGAAGAAGGUCUUCGGAUUGUAAAGCACUUUAAGUUGGGAGGAAGGGUAGUAACCUAAUACGUUGCUACUUUGACGUUACCGACAGAAUAAGCACCGGCUAACUUCGUGCCAGCAGCCG